UGCCAGCCGCCGCGGUAAUACGUAGGGAGCAAGCGUUGUCCGGAAUCAUUGGGCGUAAAGAGCGCGUAGGCGGCCCGGUAAGUCCGCUCUGAAAGUCAAAGGCUCAACCUUUGAAAGCGGGUGGAUACUGCCGGGCUAGAGUCCGGAAGAGGCGAGUGGAAUUCCUGGUGUAGCGGUGGAAUGCGCAGAUAUCAGGAGGAACACCAACGGCGAAGGCAGCUCGCUGGGACGGUACUGACGCUGAGGCGCGAAAGCGUGGGGAGCGAACAGGAUUAGAUA
rnacentral:rRNA from 1 species